AUUGAACGCUGGCGGCAUGCCUUACACAUGCAAGUCGAACGGUAACGCGGGGCAACCUGGCGACGAGUGGCGAACGGGUGAGUAAAGCAUCGGAACGUGCCCAGUAGUGGGGGAUAGCCCGGCGAAAGCCGGAUUAAUACCGCAUACGACCUGAGGGUGAAAGCGGGGGACCGAAAGGCCUCGCGCUAUUGGAGCGGCCGAUGUCAGAUUAGGUAGUUGGUGGGGUAAAGGCCUACCAAGCCUGCGAUCUGUAGCUGGUCUGAGAGGACGACCAGCCACACUGGGACUGAGACACGGCCCAGACUCCUACGGGAGGCAGCAGUGGGGAAUUUUGGACAAUGGGCGCAAGCCUGAUCCAGCCAUGCCGCGUGCGGGAAGAAGGCCCUUCGGGGUUGUAACCCGCUUUGUCGGGGAAGAAACGCUCUGGGCUAAUACCCUGGGGUAAUGACGGUACCCGAAGAAUAAGCACCGGCUAACUACGUGCCAGCAGCCGCGGUAAU
rnacentral:rRNA from 1 species